GAUGAACGCUAGCGGCAGGCCUAAUACAUGCAAGUCGAACGGUGUCUUCGGACAUAGUGGCGCACGGGUGCGUAACACGUAUGCAACCUACCUUACAUUGGGGGAUAGCCUUUCGAAAGGGAGAUUAAUACCGCAUAAGACAGUAGCUGGGCAUCCAGCAGCUGUUAAAGAUUUAUCGAUGUAAGCUGGGCAUGCGUCCAAUUAGCUAGUUGGUGAGGUAACGGCUCACCAAGGCAAUGAUUGGUAGGGGAACUGAGAGGUCAAUCUCCCACACUGGCACUGAGAUACGGGCCAGACUCCUACGGGAGGCAGCAGUAGGGAAUAUUGGGCAAUGGACGCAAGUCUGACCCAGCCAUGCCGCGUGCAGGAUGAAGGCGUUAUGCGUUGUAAACUGCUUUUAUACAGGAAGAGACGACUCUUGCGAGAGGCAUUGACGGUACUGUAUGAAUAAGCACCGGCUAACUCCGUGCCAGCCGCCGCAGUAAAAC
rnacentral:rRNA from 1 species